CCUCAAAGUAAAAAUUGUUACGAUUUAAUCAUCGAAAUAAAAAACACUAUUUAAAUAGUGUCUUUAAUUAAAAUAUCUAACGAAACACUGAAAAAUUAGUUUGUUUAUUGUAGUGCUUCAUUUUCGUAUAAAGCUUUUGCGGUUUUUUUCCUGAAAAUUGGUAAGUAAUUGAGAAUUUUGUAUUUGACACUGUUUUCAGCAAUACAUCAAGUUUCUUCCGUAGAUCAAAAUCGCAAAGCGAGCUCUCGCCGCUGGAAACUCGUCAUGUUCACGGAUGUAUGUAUCGCCGCCGGGUUUCGAAAGCAUCACUCCGUGACAGAGCAUCUAUCAUUUGGCUAUGGAAACGGCCGCCAACCGUCACACUGGCCGGAGUGUCGUAGUGGGGAUACAUUUCCGACGGCCGUAUCGGUGGCGUGACUAUCCUGAGACCAAUUGGCUCGAUUGUAUUCGGUUGUGUGUCGUUCCACCCAGGAGAAAAUGAUGCAAUUCUUCAACCUGCACCUGUCCGGAUUAGACCAAGCAGCUACAACCCGUUGAUAGCCUGUCAGAUGAAUUUCGUUUUUCUGGGGUUCAGUUUGAUUGAUGAAACCCAAGCAAUGGCAUUCAUUAGCACUAGUUUUGCAGAAACGGUGCGAUUAUUAAUGAUUAUCCGUACAAAAUCGUCAUUAACCAAAUCAGUUGAAUGUGGAUCUGAACCGGAACUUGGUUUUAUUACGCAAACAGACACCUCGGAAGAUAUUAUUCAAUAAUAAGAAUGAUAUGAUGGAUAAUCCGCACGUUGCCUUAUAUUUCGGAAUGCUUAAACACGGUUUUGAAGCGGCUACGGAUGCGGAAGCCUACCGUACUAUUUUGUUCAAUAUCACUCCGGCGAAGGUAAUGGGCUACCAUUGGUCUGCAGAUCGAUACUGGAACCUGGAUUCCGAAUAAUUCAUGAAAUGCAGUUAUAAACAACCUGUUUUCACCAUGGCAUGCGCAACCUACGGACGGCAACGGGAUUUAGGGAAAAUGCUCUUUGCAGAUCUGCGUCAAGAUACCGAUGUAUUGGACAUUUAUAAAUAGAUUAUAAUAAAAGUAUUAAAUUAGCAAAUCCCUAAAAAACUUGAUUAGAAAUUAUUGAAGUAAGGAAACCACGAAAAAACUCCAUGAAACAAAUGCUAUGUACGUCGCACUAUUACGUUCCUUUAUUUUACGUCACCUAGAUUACAUCGAAUAAUUUUUACAUCGGGAAAAAUCACAUCGAUUCUGUUUAUUACACAGCAAGCUCUUGAGUACAUCGCGCAGUGUAAUAUUCAACAAUCGAUGGAAUCGACGGGUUGCAGCGAUUUCGAUGUAAUAUUCAACAAAAAUUUUUGCU